AGAGUUUGAUCCUGGCUCAGGACGAACGCUGGCGGCGUGCCUAAUACAUGCAAGUCGAACGGGGUUCAUCCGGUGGCAACACCGGAGAAGACCUAGUGGCGAACGGGUGAGUAGCACGUGAGCAACCUGCCCCGAAGACUGGGAUAACACCCGGAAACGGGUGCUAAUACCGGAUAUCCCCGCCGGACCGCAUGGUCUGGUGAGGAAAUGGAUUCCGCUUCGGGAGGGGCUCGCGGCCUAUCAGCUUGUUGGUGAGGUAACGGCUCACCAAGGCUACGACGGGUAGCUGGUCUGAGAGGACGAUCAGCCACACUGGGACUGAGACACGGCCCAGACUCCUACGGGAGGCAGCAGUAGGGAAUCUUGCGCAAUGGGCGAAAGCCUGACGCAGCAACGCCGCGUGAGGGACGAAGGCUUUCUGAGUUGUAAACCUCUUUCAGCAGGAACGAUGAUGACGGUACCUGCAGAAGAAGCACCGGCCAACUACGUGCCAGCAGCCGCGGUGAUACGUAGGGUGCGAGCGUUGUCCGGAUUUAUUGGGCGUAAAGAGCUCGUAGGCGGUUCGAUCAGUCGGGUGUGAAAUCUCCAGGCUCAACCUGGAGUCGCCACUCGAUACUGUCGUGACUCGAGUCCGGUAGGGGACCAUGGAAUUCCUGGUGUAGCGGUGAAAUGCGCAGAUAUCAGGAGGAACACCAGUAGCGAAGGCGGUGGUCUGGGCCGGCACUGACGCUGAGGAGCGAAAGCGUGGGGAGCGAACAGGAUUAGAUACCCUUGUAGUCC
rnacentral:rRNA from 1 species